rnacentral:rRNA from 1 species
AUGGCGUCCGCCGCCGCUCUUCUCCUCCAGCUCCAGCUGCUGCUGCUCCUCUCGCUCUCCGCUGCUCAGCCUGGUUUCAUCAGCUUGGAUUGUGGGGGAGCCGAUGAUUACACAGAUGGCAUUGGCAUCCAGUGGACUUCUGAUGCCAAGCUGGUCUUCGGUGGGCAGGCCACAAACCUGCCGGUCCAAAACCAGCUCCAGAAGCAGUAUUCAACUCUGAGGUAUUUUCCAGCAGACAACAGCAAGUAUUGCUACACGAUGAAUGUGAGGACCAGGACACGCUACCUCGUCAGAGCUAGCUUCCUCUACAGAAACUUCGACAACAGCAACGUCUACCCCAAGUUUGAUCUCUCCCUCGGAGCCACUCCCUGGUCCACGGUCAUAAUCGAUGAUGCCGACACGCCGGUUGUAGAGGAGGCCAUUAUCUUGGCUGCCGCUCCCACACUCAGUGUCUGCCUCUCCAAUGCCAGCACAGGACAGCCGUUUAUAUCUACACUCGAGCUUCGCCAGUUUAACGGUUCACUCUACUAUACUGACUAUGAGGCACAGUUCUUCCUUGCACUGUCUGCGAGGAUAAAUUUUGGUGCUGAUGGCAAUAAAUCAGUCAGGUACCCUGAUGAUCCAUUUGAUAGAAUAUGGGAAUCCGACUCUUUGAGGAGAGCGAAUUAUCUUGUUGAUGUUGCUCCAGGGACUGAAAGAAUAACAACCACAAAACCAGUAUUCGUCGGUACUGAAUUAGAACCACCUGAAAAGGUCAUGCAAACAGCGGUGGUUGGCCAAAAUGGAUCCUUGAACUACCGGCUUGAUUUGGAAGGGUUCCCGGGAAAUGCAUGGGCAGUCUCAUAUUUUGCUGAAAUUGAAGAUUUGGCCCCAGAUGAAACUAGGAAAUUUAAGUUAGUGGUUCCUGGCAUGCCAUUAUUCAGUAAACCAACCGUUGACGUGGAGGAGAAUGCGCAGGGGAAGUAUCGUUUGUACCAACCAGGUUACACAAAUGUGACACUUCCAUUUGUUUUCUCUUUCGAGUUCAAGAAGACAAAUGAUUCUUCAAAGGGACCUAUUUUGAAUGCUAUGGAAAUUUACAAACAUGUUCAGAUUACCAUGGGAUCUCAAGAUGCAAACACCAUGUCUAGCUUGGCCUCACGGUAUCCUCAAGCAGGUUGGGCGCAAGAGGGUGGUGAUCCAUGCUUACCAGUGUCAUGGACCUGGGUGCAAUGCAGUUCAGAAGCAGCACCCAGAGUUCUUUCAAUCACAUUGUCAGAGAAGAACAUCACAGGAAGUAUCCCUGAGGAGUUGACAAAGUUAUCCGCCUUGGUCGAGUUAAGACUCGAUGGCAACUCAUUUUCUGGUGGAAUCCCUGAUUUUAGUGGAUGCAGAAAUCUGCAGUAUAUUCACCUCGAAAACAAUCAGUUAAAUGGUGCACUGCCAUCCUCUUUGGGAGAACUACCUAACCUCAAAGAGUUGUAUAUUCAGAACAAUAGGCUUUCCGGACAUAUUCCAAGGGCACUUUCCAAGAAGAGCAUUAUUUUCAACUCGUCAGGCAAUAAUCUUCAGGGGCCAAGUGAUAGUAUUAGCCGCGGCACCAUCAUAAUCAUCGUAUGUGCGGUGGUUGGGGCCAUCUUGUUACUUGCGAUUGCUAUUGGAUGCUGUUUGUGUACACACAAGAGAAAGAAAAAACCUUCACGUGAAACUGUUGUUCUUGCAGCACCAGCGAAAAGGCUAGGGUCAUAUUUCAGUGAAGUAGCUACAGAAACAGCGCACAGAUUUGCUUUAUCAGAAAUUGAAGAUGCUACUGACAAAUUUGAGAGGAGGAUCGGCUCUGGAGGGUUUGGCAUAGUAUACUACGGAAAGCUGGCAGAUGGGAGAGAGAUCGCAGUCAAGCUUCUCACAAAUGACUCCUAUCAGGGCAUCCGAGAAUUCUUGAAUGAGGUGGCGUUGCUUUCGAGAAUACAUCACAGGAACUUGGUAACCUUCCUUGGUUACAGUCAACAAGACGGGAAGAACAUACUUGUGUACGAGUUCAUGCACAAUGGAACACUAAAGGAGCACCUUCGUGGAGGACCUAAUGAUGUGAAAAUAACUAGCUGGGUUAAGCGCCUUGAGAUAGCAGAAGAUGCUGCGAAAGGUAUAGAGUACCUCCAUACGGGAUGCUCUCCAACCAUAAUUCACAGAGAUGUUAAGAGUAGCAACAUUUUACUUGACAAGAACAUGCGGGCAAAAGUCGCAGACUUCGGCCUAUCAAAACCUGCAGUCGAUGGGUCUCAUGUAUCAAGCAUAGUUCGUGGGACGGUUGGGUAUCUUGAUCCAGAGUACUACAUCUCCCAGCAGCUAACAGAGAAGAGUGACAUAUACAGUUUUGGUGUCAUCCUACUUGAGCUAAUCUCUGGCCACGAGCCGAUCUCUAGUGAUAACUUUGGGCUCAACUGCCGUAACAUUGUGGCAUGGGCUAGGUCGCACAUUGAGAGUGGGAACAUUGACGCCAUCAUUGAUGCAUCACUGGAUACCGGCUACGACCUGCAGUCGGUGUGGAAGAUCGCGGAGGUGGGCAUCAUGUGUGUGAAGCCAAAGGGCGCGCAGAGGCCAACCAUCUCCGAGGUGCUCAAAGAGAUCCAGGAUGCCAUCGCCAUCGAGGUGCAGCGGGAGGCACCCCAAGUCCAGCAGCUCAUGUCCAAGAGGUCCAUGGGUUCUGUCUCGAUCAACACCGACAACAGUGUGGAUCUGGAGCAGAACGCGUCGUUUGAUGAAAUGCUCAUGCGGCCAGGCCUCAGGUAG